rnacentral:lncRNA from 1 species
CUGGGCUGGAGGAGGGAAGGGAAAGAGUGGGUGGGAGGUGAAUGGGGAGUUGGGUGCCAGGUCAGAAUUUCAGGGCAACACCCAAGUUGUCCCCUCCCUGUGAUUCCCCACGGACGCAGGCUGCAGAGCCCUGCCUGUGUGAACAGGAGCAGGAUGGCCUGUGUCCCCGCCUCAGAGACCCUUCGUCUCCUGCUAGGAGUGAGUCUGUCACCAGGCUCUCAGCCAGCUCUCUCUCCUAGGGGAAGCGAGCACCCCGGUGGGCCCAGCCAGACUGACAUCACAGCACAGGCCUCCUGGAGGAAGGUGCUGAGAGAGGGUUCCUCUUACCUGGAGACUGGACUGAGACAAGACAGGUCCACGACACCCCUCACGGCAGCCUGUCAAGAAUGACUGGACCCUGAUUCUGUCAGGCGGUCUGCGUGCCAACUUGCUAUCCAGGGGUCAUCGCAGAUGUGGAGAACGUGCCGGCCACACUCAACUCCAGGUUCCCACAGCUGUAUUGAAUGGUCCAGGGCUGAAGACAGUGUUCUGUUUACACACUCGGGCACCAUCUUGCAGAUUGUGUCCACUAACCUAUGGUCCACUUGGUGGGGCCAUGAAUAAUUUGUUAAUAAAAUGCUGACCUUUGUGGGUGAUUUACUUUUUAAAAAUAUGCACUAGCGUGGAUUCCAGGUUAGUCCUAUAAAAACACUAUUCUCAUUUGCUUUCAAUCCAGUGAACUUUCUUGAGUUGGGAAGAAAGAGUGGUGUUCCUUCCACUUCUGACAGGUGACUCAGACCCAGGUCAACUCUGCGGCUGCCUCCAGCCUCUGCGGAAAGUCCCAGAGGAGCCCAGUUUCUCUAGAUGAGGUGGGGUUACCCUCCGCCCCGAGGCAGCUCUCUUUUAUACUUUGGCAAAUUCAUUUCCACUACUUAAAGAAAAACACUUCACCUUCCCUGUCCUCAUUGUUGACCCUCAUAACCUCACCCUGGCUUAGUCAACCUCACUUCCCCCUGCUUGCAAAAGAAAAGACCGGAAACUUUUUCAUUAUACACAGGCAGUGCUCCUAUAUGACCAUCCUCUUUGUUCUCUACAAGAGUAAAUCUGAAAUGACUUCCAAAUUUACAUAUAUUAAAGUAGGAAACUUUAAAUAAAAAUCAAGGUGACAGAAAAGACUAGGGGGAAUUUAG